CCUACGGGUGGCAGCAGUGGGGAAUAUUGGGCAAUGGGCGCAAGCCUGACCCAGCAAAGCCGCGUGAAGGAAGAAGGCGUUAGGGUUGUAAACUUCUUUUUUCAGGGACGAAGCAAGUGACGGUACCUGAUGAAUAAGCCACGGCUAACUACGUGCCAGCAGCCGCGGGAAUACGUAGGUGGCAAGCGUUAUCCGGAUUCACUGGGUGUAAAGGGCGUGUAGGCGGGAAAGCAAGUCAGAUGUGAAAACCAUGGGCCCAACCUGUGCCCUGCAUUUGAAACUGUUUUUCUUGAGUACUGGAGAGGCAGACGGAAUUCCUAGUGUAGCGGUGAAAUGCGUAGAUAUUAGGAGGAACCCCAGUUGCGAAGGCGGUCUGCUGGACAGCAACUGACGCUGAGGCGCGAAAGCGUGGGGAGCGAACAGGAUUAGAUACCCGUGUAGUC
rnacentral:rRNA from 1 species